rnacentral:lncRNA from 1 species
CAGGUAUUAAAAUGUAGUGUUAUUCUUUAUCUUACUCAGAGCCUUUGCGAGUGAAACAGUGAGCCAUACAGCGAACUGCAGAGCGAGCAAUACAGAGCGACACAGCUAGUGAAGCGUUUAGAUCACCAUCUAGAGAAGAGAAGAAAGAAGAGGAAGAGAAUCAGGAUCGUCAUCUUCUGGAUCAGCAACAUCUGGAGCAUGGUCAGGACCAGAUCGGGCACCAUGGAUUUCGGGCGCGAAGUCCAUAGAGAUUUUACUAUCUCGAAGUGUAUCGGGAGCGGUGGUUUUGGGCAGGUCUUCAAGGCCCAGAAGCGCAACUCUGAUGAGCUUGUAGCCUUGAAGUAUGUGUACUGGGAUCCUGGAGCUACCACCAACCCCUUUAAAGAGAUACGCCUGUUGAAGGAGUGCAACCAUCAAAAUCUGACCAAGUUUCAUGGCAC